UGGGCUGUGGCUCAGUGGUAGAACCUCUGCCCAGCAUGCAGAAGGUCCCAGGUUCAAUUCCUGGUACGUCCAG
rnacentral:tRNA from 1 species